CCGUUGGUUCUAUUGGAUUCUUCUACAGUGAUGGUGAUCAGUGAUAUGACCGUUUGUUCUAUUUGAUUCUUCUACAGUGAUUCGCUACAAAGUUAUUUGGCGACAUCAAAUACAACGAACGUGCCCUGUAACUUUACCCUGGAGGAGUAUGCCUGUGCAUCGCUGAAAGACUUCACUGCAGAACACCUGGUGUCUCUUCUGAAAUGUAACCUGCCCGGCAACUCCUCUCACUCCAAAGAGACGUGGAAGGUUCUCCUCACCAAACUGACCUCUGUCUUAGACCAAGCUCUGGACAUGUUCUCCAAUAUGGUGAGAAUAUACAGUAGAUUAACGUUCCUUAAAUGUGUGGGCGCGUUCAGCAGGAUGCAACGUUUUGGAAAGUUCACAUAGGAAUAUGCUACGUAGGAAUCACGGUGGUUCUAUUCAUGGUUUUCUAUCUGCAACGUUCGAGAGCGUUUUGCAACUGAACGUGGCCCUGUUGUUCUGUUAUUGAAUGACCGAUCUCUUCCUCCCCAGUCCAAACCUGUGAUUGGUCCAGCAGUAUCGCAGGCGCUGGAUGUGAUUGGAGAGAUUCGGGGUCAACAGGCUGACUGAGGAUCAGCUGAGAGACAGUGAUGUCAUCAGGAAGUGGUUCUCGGGCCGUCUGAGGGUGUUCCUGCCGUCUGCAUCAGCAGUGUUUCUGCACUGCCUCAGCACCAAGAACCUGAGCUGUGACUCGUAUCAACAGAUACUGAGGGAGUUCAGCAAUCAAUUUGACCAAAUGGACCAGAUGAGACAAGAGCUGGUGGUCAAAUACUUCAUCCAGCCCUUCCUGACCAAAAACUCCUCAGGUAUGGAAGAUAGCAACUAGAGUAAAAGCAGCAAACUGUUCCUCGUCUUCAUUUAAUCUUUGACCUUAACCAAUUGGUCUCCUCCCUCCAGACUCUGGCUGUGUGUCCAACUCUAACAGCAGUGUGGACUGGCUGCAGAAGAACCUGGGGCGGUUUUCAGUCCUGCUGUCCCUCAGCGACCUGUUGAAUCUCAACACAGACUUCUCUCCUUUGUCAGCCCUGGAGGUUCUCUCUCCAAAGCAGACAGCAGAGCUGGUGGUGUUGCCUCUUCCUGGUCUUCCAGGGAAAGAUGUCAUCAUCAACACAGUGUUUGACUUCCUGUCUAAGUCACCAAAGGAGAGGAGACUCCCUGACUUCCUGUACCACCUCUCCAGGCUGUCUGUGGUGGUAAUGACCCCAAAGAUUAUUAGUAAACACCUUAUAAAGCUGUCUUUGAGUUAACUGAAAAAAACAUUGUAGUCUUGCUUCAAUAUGUUGAUGUUAACUUCUAUCCUCUCCCCAGACUCCAGUCGGCUGCACGGUCUACCAGACCAUGUAAGUC
rnacentral:lncRNA from 1 species